CCUACGGGAGGCAGCAGUGGGGAAUAUUGCACAAUGGGGGAAACCCUGAUGCAGCGACGCCGCGUGAGUGAAGAAGGAUUUCGGUAUGUAAAGCCCUAUCAGCAGGGAAGAAAAUGACGGUACCUGACUAAGAAGCCCCGGCUAACUACGUGCCAGCAGCCGCGGUAAUACGUAGGGGGCCAGCGUUAUCCGGAUUUACUGGGUGUAAAGGGAUCGUAGACGGCAGCACAAGUCUGACGGGAAAGGCGGGGGGCUAAACCCCGAACUGCUUUGGAAACUGUGUCGCUAGAGUGCAGGAGAGGUAAGUGGAAUUCCUAGUGUAGCGGUGAAAUGCGUAGAUAUUACGAGGAACACCAGUGGCGAAGGCGGCUUACCGGCGUGUAACUGACGUUGAGGCUCGAAAGCGUGGGGAGCGAACAGGAUUAGAUACCCCGGUAGUC
rnacentral:rRNA from 1 species